rnacentral:rRNA from 1 species
AGAGUUUGAUCAUGGCUCAGAAUGAACGCUGGCGGCGUGGAUAAGACAUGCAAGUCGAACGGAGAUAAUCAUUAGUUUACUAAAGAUUGUCUUAGUGGCGGACGGGUUAGUAACACGUGAGCAACUUACCUCAAAGUGGGGGAUAGCCUUCCGAAAGGAAGAUUAAUACCGCAUGUGACCUCCGGGUCAAAGGGUGCCUACUUAGGUAAGCACUCGCUUUGAGAUAGGCUCGCGUCCUAUCAGUUAGUUGGUGAGGUAAUGGCUCACCAAGACUACGACGGGUAGCUGUUCUGAGAGGAAGAUCAGCAACACUGGAACUGAGACACGGUCCAGACACCUACGGGUGGCAGCAGUCGAGAAUCAUUCACAAUGGACGAAAGUCUGAUGGUGCAACGCCGCGUGGAGGAUGAAGGCCCUAGGGUCGUAAACUCCUGUCAUAGCAGAGUAAGGCAUAGUAGUUAAAAGCUAUUAUGUUUGAUAGUAUGCUAAGAGGAAGGGACGGCUAACUUCGUGCCAGCAGCCGCGGUAAUACGAAGGUCCCGAGCGUUAUUCGGAAUCACUGGGCGUAAAGGGAGCGUAGGCGGCGCGGUAAGUCAGAUGUGAAAUCUGGGGGCUCAACCUCCAAACUGCAUUCGAUACUGCCGUGCUAGAGUAAUGGAGAGGUAACUGGAAUUCUCGGUGUAGCAGUGAAAUGCGUAGAUAUCGAGAGGAAGACCAAUGGCGAAAGCAGGUUACUGGACAUUCACUGACGCUGAGGCUCGAAGGCUAGGGUAGCGAAAGGGAUUAGAUACCCCUGUAGUCCUAGCAGUAAACGAUGUGCGCUUGGUGUGGGAGGGUUCGACCCCUUCUGUGCCGGAGCUAACGCGUUAAGCGCACCGCCUGGGGAGUACGGUCGCAAGACUAAAACUCAAAGAAAUUGACGGGGACCCGCACAAGC